rnacentral:tRNA from 1 species
GGCAUGGCUCAGUCGGUAGAGCGUCGCAUUGGUAGUGCGGAGGUCACGGGUUCGAUUCCCGUUGCC